rnacentral:rRNA from 1 species
UACGGGGGGGCAAGCGUUGCUCGGAAUUACUGGGCGUAAAGGGCUCGUAGGCGGCCAACUAAGUCAGACGUGAAAUCCCCAGGCUCAACCUGGGAACUGCGUCUGAUACUGGAUGGCUUGAAUCCGGGGAGAGGGAUGCAGAAUUCCAGGUGUAGCGGUGAAAAUGCGUAGAUAUCUGGAGGAAUACCGGUGGCGAAGGCGGCAUCCUGGACCGGCAUUGACGCUGAGGGAGCGAAAAGCCCAGGGGGAGCAAACGGGG